AAGAAGGGGAAGACAAGUUAUUUUGACGCUAUUAUUCUGGGCUUCAGCGGUGCUACAAAAGAUUAAAUAUUGGUAUACAGAAUAUUUAUUUGUUUGAAAAAACAAAAUGAUUAAAAAAAAUACUACAUUAAAAUUCAUUGUAAAAAACUUAUUGAUAUUUUAUUCAAUAUAUUUAUGAUGAAUAUUACGAAUUGUCCUUUGAAAGUAGUGGACAUGAAGUAGGAAUUGGUAGUAACCAUUGUAUUAUUAUCAAAAUGGUGAAUAAGAAUUCUACGUUGUACUAACCGUCCGUCGCGUUUUAGGAAUACUUAAAUAGCUUAUUGCAGAUUUUUCAAUGUGAUUGUUAUUUAGGUACUACUAAAGCUAAGUCGUAGCAUGGUUGUAGUAAGGG
rnacentral:rRNA from 15 species